UACAGAGGGUGCGAGCGUUGUCCGGAAUCACUGGGCGUAAAGGGCGCGUAGGCGGCCCGAUAAGUGGGGGGUGAAAUCUUGCGGCUCAACCGCAAGGCUGCCUUCUAAACUGUCGGGCUGGAGCACGGUAGAGGCAGAUGGAAUUCCCGGUGUAGCGGUGGAAUGCGUAGAGAUCGGGAGGAACACCCGUAGCGAAGGCGGCACUCUGGGCCGGAACUGGCGCUGAGGAGCGAAAGCGUGGGGAGCAAACAGG
rnacentral:rRNA from 1 species